rnacentral:rRNA from 1 species
CAAGCAGUGGGAGCACCUUCGGGUGUGACUGCGUACCUUUUGUAUAAUGGGUCAGCGACUUAUAUUCUGUAGCAAGGUUAACCGUAUAGGGGAGCCGCAGGGAAACCGAGUCUUAACUGGGCGUUAAGUUGCAGGGUAUAGACCCGAAACCCGGUGAUCUAGCCAUGGGCAGGUUGAAGGUUGGGUAACACUAACUGGAGGACCGAACCGACUAAUGUUGAAAAAUUAGCGGAUGACUUGUGGCUGGGGGUGAAAGGCCAAUCAAACCGGGAGAUAGCUGGUUCUCCCCGAAAGCUAUUUAGGUAGCGCCUCGUGAACUCAUCUUCGGGGGUAGAGCACUGUUUCGGCUAGGGGGUCAUCCCGACUUACCAACCCGAUGCAAACUACGAAUACCGAAGAAUGUUAUCACGGGAGACACACGGCGGGUGCUAACGUCCGUCGUGAAGAGGGAAACAACCCAGACCGCCAGCUAAGGUCCCAAAGUCAUGGUUAAGUGGGAAACGAUGUGGGAAGGCACAGACAGCCAGGAUGUUGGCUUAGAAGCAGCCAUCAUUUAAAGAAAGCGUAAUAGCUCACUGGUCGAGUCGGCCUGCGCGGAAGAUGUAACGGGGCUAAACCAUGCACCGAAGCUGCGGCAGCGACACUAUGUGUUGUUGGGUAGGGGAGCG